UGUAGAAUGAUAAUAUGCAUGGAAGAAAACCUUGAGAAGAACUGGAGAACUGGGGUAACUCAGAGUAAAGUACACUAGCAUUCUAACAAGACAACAGAUAUUUUAACAGACUCUCUACAGCAAAACCAAAGGUAGGAGAAAUUUUCUGAUUAAAUAAAUAAUUAAAAAAAUAUUAUUCCAUUUUACACUUACUUACAUAACUUGGCAUGCUAAAGCAAAGAUCUGAGAUCAAGAAUCUUCAGAAAAAAAAAAUCAAAAUUUUAAAAUUAGUCUGAACAAUUACCAUGCUGGGGUACUUGCAAGAAAGCAACUAAUUGCUGACAGCAUAGGUUUAUGACCCAGGGAAAAAAAGUAAAAGAAGAAAUAAGAUAAAAAGAAGAGUGACAAAAAUAUGAACUUCUCAAAACUUGAUUUCAUUACCAGAUUCAUGAUCCCAGACAACUCCAUAUAAAUUUUUUUCCACCCACAGAUACAAUCUUUUAUGAUUUAGAAAGCUCAUACAGCAGCAACUUAUGGUCUUAGUGAAAAGGAAUGAAGACAAUUUAGAAAUGGCAUAACUAGACAUAGGACAUGCAGCAAGACCUCUCUAGUUCCAGGGGUUUAGUUAGUUAAUUUUAAUUUUAAGUGAACCAGUGAGACUAACUGCAGCUUAUCUGGUGUCUCCCACCUUCACACCUGCUGUGGGAACAAAAGGAAGUUGCCCAUUCACAAAUGUCAUGGAUAACUGCACUCUGCAAUUUACUGGGUUUCAAAUGAUUGGUGAAGAAAUUGUGUAGGAAUAGGAAAACUCUAUUAAGGACUCACUCUGAGAUGACAAGGGCAUUUCCACAAGCCCUACCAACAUGACAAGUGGCUUUAUUUUAUUUUUACAGUAGAAUGGGAGAGGAUGUAGACAUAAUUUUAGCAAGACCCCUGCUGAACUUCACAUCAUACUGGAAACUGGGCUCAAAAACUGAGUUGAUCUUACUAAGAGUGUGUUACCUGAUGCAAAGCAUUUACAGUCCUAUGAGGUAUGUUGAACUACUAAUUUAAAUAUCCCAAAUGAAAUAUUGUGCAGUAUUACAGUAUAGAACACUAAUAUUUCAAUGAAAAAAAUAGAGUUCAAAAUUGAAAACCAAUCUUUUGAAAAUUAAACUGUUCACCUUGUAGGAAACUGACAUAUAUUGAAUGUUGCAUUUUUUUAGCCAUUGACUUCUGACCCCACCAUACUGGUUUUUUCCUUUUCUGCUGAUACUCAUCAACUUAUGCUGGAAAACCACUCAAAUGUUCUUUAUGUACCUGUGUAUUUUUUUCGUUACAUAAAUAUUCAUAAAAUAUUUCUAAAUAAUUUUCACUAUUAGAGAAAUUGAAAUAACAAGCGAUUACUCACUUGUUUUUUAAACUAUGACUCAGUGUUCAGUUCUAAAGAAAUUCUCACAAUACAGAAGAGUAAUUUCAGGGAAAAGACUGUUGUCUGAGAGAUGACUUUUUCUCAAGGUCUUCUAGUCUACCCCCAAUAAAAGAAAAAUAUGUAAGUUUCUUAAGUAUGAA
rnacentral:lncRNA from 1 species